CAUGUACUCCUUCCGUUCCGAAUUAUUUGUUGCAGGUAUAAAUGUAUCUAAAUGUAUUUUAGUUCUAGAUACAUCCAUUUCUGUGAUGAGUAAUUUGGAACGGAGGGAAUAGAAU
rfam:Triticum urartu cultivar G1812 contig1026688, whole genome shotgun sequence.